rnacentral:rRNA from 1 species
GACGAACGCUGGCGGCGUGCUUAACACAUGCAAGUCGAACGGAAAGGCCCUGCUUUUGUGGGGUGCUCGAGUGGCGAACGGGUGAGUAACACGUGUGUACCCUGCCCUUGACUUUGGGAUAAUUUCAGGAAACUGGGGCUAAUCCCGGAUGGGCUCCCCUGCUGCAUGGUGGGGUGUGGAAAUUUUCGGGGGUGGGGGUUGGACUCGCGGCUUAUCAGCUUGUUGGGGGGGUAGUGGCUUACCAAGGCUUUGACGGGUAGCCGGCCUGAGAGGGUGACGGGCCACAUGGGGACUGGGUUACGGCCCAGCUUCCUCGGGGAGGAAGCGGGGGGGAUUAUGGCACACUGGGCGAAGCCCGGAGGCAGAACCGCCGCGUCGGGAAGGCCGCCUUUCGGGUUGUAAACGGCUUUCGCUGGGGACGAGGCGGGAGGGACGGUAAUGGGUAAAGAAGCACCGGCUAACUAGUU